UACGAAGGGGGCUAGCGUUGCUCGGAAUCACUGGGCGUAAAGGGUGCGUAGGCGGGUCUUUAAGUCAGGGGUGAAAUCCUGGAGCUCAACUCCAGAACUGCCUUUGAUACUGGCGAUCUUGAGUUCGGGAGAGGUGAGUGGAACUGCGAGUGUAGAGGUGAAAUUCGUAGAUAUUCGCAAGAACACCAGUGGCGAAGGCGGCUCACUGACCCGAUACUGACGCUGAGGUGCGAAAGCGCGGGGAGCAAACAGG
rnacentral:rRNA from 1 species